UGCGUAUUGCAUCCCAAAGUGUGGAGGCUGCAGGCAGAGGAAAGUGCACCCUGCAAGCACUUUCCCUCACAGGGAUGUCAUAUCAGAACAUCAGGGAUGAUGAAACAGGAAGGAGGCUGCUGGAUACCUGCUCCAUCUCCCUGACACAGGGAGUGACCAUAAGGGCUCUUCAGGAGCAGGGACUGAGAACUGCCUGGGAAGGCUUCUGACACUGCCCAGGCCACUGUCCCUGGUGGUACCACACCAGACUGUGGUCCAGGACCUGGAGCCCACGGAGGCCAAGUCCGAGGCUCCAGACAGGGGGAUGAUGCUUGGAGAGACCUCAGCAGGAGACCAGAAGCCAGCAGGGUAUCAGGCACCUGCCCACGGAGAGCCUGAUGCUGUCCCAGAGGAGCUGGUGCCUGCCCCUGCCCCUGCCCCUGUUCCUGCCCCUACUCCAACCCCUUCCCCUACUCCUGUGGGGCUCCCAGAGCCACAUUAAGAGCCCACAGCCCUGCUCCUUGUACAACUGUCCCUUGUUCUAUCCCCCCGAACCCAACGGCCCAUAGGAAUGUUUCAUCCCCUACUUGU